UCGGGUUGACAGUCAGAUCGAUAUAUAAAUAUAUAAGAUUAAUCAAAUGUCCCAAGUAUGGAUAUGUCCACGAUGCUUCCAUUGUUUUCAAAUUUUGUCGAAUAUUGAAAAGCUCCAAUGAUUUAAGAGUGCGAAAGGUUUCAUUAGUGUUAAAUUCGGUAAAGUUAACAGUAUUAUUUUCGAUUGAGAGAUUUAACAAUCUUUUAAUUCCAGAAAAGGCACCAGUUUCAAUUACAAACAAUCUGUUAUUGUCAAGAAUUAUUGUUAACAACAUCGAAUAUCUUUUGAAAGUAUUGUUUGGCAAUGUUUCAAUUUCAUUGUGGUUUAAAUCUAAUGAAAUGAUAUAUCUAGGUAGAUCCUUCGGUACAGAUGUGAGUCCUCUAUUAGUGCAGUCCGCAGUUCUAUAUAAUACCAAACAAUUAAAGCGAUCACUUUUUGUCAAGGAAAGUAAACUAAAAACAAUGCAUAUGAUAAUCUCCAUUGUUCAAAAUCUGAAGCUGUCAUAGAUGUAGCCUUUUUAUCAUUCGUGCUUAAGUGUCGUAUUGUAGUCGGAAAUAUUAUAAUUGUACGCACUCCAUUGUGUAUUUUAAUAUUAUCGUUAUUAUAG
rnacentral:lncRNA from 1 species